AGAUAGUCUUCUUAGUAGAUGAUAAUCCUUUAACGGGUUAGCGUGUAUAGAACAACUUCUCGUCAUCGUCAAUGGGCAGAGGGGAGCAGCAGCCGCAGCAUGCAGCGGUGCCCCAACCCCGCCGCCGCCCCAAUCCCACCACCGGUGGCCUCCUCCUCACCUAACGCCGCCGCUCCAGCCCCUCACCAUCCUCGACCGAUUUAGCGCCGUCGCCGCCCCUCAGCACGCAACCUCUCCUCUCCUCCGCGGCUCCGCCUCUUCCUCCGGCGGGAUCCAACCCAAUCGUCAUCUCCUACUCCCCUCUCUUAUUCCCCUGUGCCUCGACGAGGUGGGCCAAUCCGGCGCACGCAGCAAAGGGUGGCUGCGGAUGCAGCUCGGACGCGGGCGCGCGGAGCUGCGGCAGCUGGUGGUGGACGGGAAUCCCGCCGACCGCCUCCCUCCCCAAACUGCAGCGAUGAUGGAGGGAGCCGCCAGCGCCGGCCAGCUACCGGCCGACGGGCUCGCCGGGUCGCCGUUCCUCGGGGCCACCCCCUGGCCCGUGCCGGAUCGGGCAUCGGCUUGGAGGCCCCUCCGGGCUGCCGCCGGUGCGGCAGGCGUCCACGGCCGUGCAGGUUGGGGACCGAGCGACGGGGCCCGUGGUGCGUUCCGGUAGAGGGCUUGCUCGAUCUGGCACGCGAUCUGAGUCCCCGUCGAUGGAUUUCUCGCAGCUCGACUCCGUUCUCAGGUACCUAUCUUUGGUGUUGAUUGUCGCUCACAUUCCUGUCAUCGCUUUGGUUUGUAAGAGAUUCUAUCAAAAUAAUUGUAUUGUAGACUUGUACUAGUUGUUACUGAAUUAGUGCAACGUUAGGUCUGUAGGUUAAGAAAACGAGCCCAAAGAAGUAAUGCGUCCAGCCAAACAACGACAUUGUGGCACCGCGAUCCACAUUUGUUGUUCUCGGUAAGUUGAUGGACUGCAUUAGCCAAUCACUAUGUGUGUUUUCCUAGAAUUACUUUCAGUUCGUCCUAGUCAUAUUGUGAUUAUUCAAGUACUUCAUGAUGAUGAGGUAUGAGACCAUGAUAUACUAGCAUUUUAUUUAAAUCCCAAUGGGAGCAGGUCAAUGAACCAUUGGUGUACCAACAUUUAAGCAAGCAAGUUUUACUCAUUUUCAUUUUUAGCAGAUAGUUUUGAGCAAAUUGUUCUGACUGCGCAACUUGAGAGAGUCCAUGCCAAUUAACAAUGCAAGUACAGUGGUAGGCGCCACUGGAUAUGCAAUGCAGGUGCGCGUUCCUUGUGUAGAGCACCGUGGUGAGCCGGGGCAUCGCACUGAAGGAUAUCAGCGGAGACCUGUUCACCAAAGAAUCAGGCAACGUGGUGAAUGAGGUGAAGCUGAAGGUUGUUUACGCUCCACUUUUGCAACCGGCAUCCAUAAAUGAGGGCUCUGAUUAGGGAAGUCUGGGCAGUCAGAAGUUAUCAAGAGCCCUGUACUGACUAAGUUGUGACCUUGUCACUGAUCCAUCAUCCUAUGGUUGAGAGUUGUUCUUUCUUCGAAGACAACAAGAGAACUUGCAGAACCAGAAACAAUACCUUCUGAGGUGAACUCCCUUCCAACAAAAAAUCAACAAGCUAUGCCUAACUCUUACUCUAAAGUCGUAUAAACUAUUAAGAAAAAGACCAGUCUUUUGAAUCUUUCAUGUUAAUCUUGUAUGCUAUUGAUCUUAAAUCAUUAUAGUAUCAUGCACGUGAAUCCCGCAUCAUCCAACAUGAAUGAUCCAAAAGACCGAAGUAAUUCAUAUUGGCUACUUGAGUGACAACUUCUAGAGAGGACUCGUCUAAUAAACUUUGGUGUUUUUAAGAACACCGAGAUUGUUAUUUUUAAUAGUUCACCAUGGUGUAUACAUAGUUCAAAAAAGCGCUAGGCGUUAAUUGUGUGUUUUGCCACCGCCUUUGCGCUUUACUGACCAAAGUGCAUGCUUAUGCGUAGAUUAAGCACAGUCAUGCGCAAUGCGUUUUGCCAAUGCUUGGAGCCUAGGCGCACUUAAGCGCUUGCUUAGCCGCGCCUUUUUUAACUAUGGGUGUAUACAUCUUUGGUCCUCCAAUAUAUCUUAGCAUUCUUGAUGAAAUUUGUGAUGCAGUUUUAUUCUUCAACUACAUUUUGUCUUGGCCUAUUUAUUAUGUCUUAUGUCAUCAUUUUGCAGUAUCAUGCAUGUGUUGUCCAUCUUCUAUUAUCACUCAAUAUGUGUUAAAAACUUUUCAUUUCUAAAUUCAACCAUGUUCUUCUCACUCCUUUCAAGUUGUAAUCCCACUUGAUAUAUUAAAUUUAUUGUUGCUAUUUCACAAAAAAAUGUUGCUAUUUGAUCAUGUUUUGUCUGUCGACAUCUAUGACCUUUCUAUUUACUGUGGUCUUUCUUUCCUAUUUAGAUGGUCAUAUUUUUUCCUUAUUAAUUGGAAUACAAUUUCCUAUGCACUGUGUAAUUUCUUGAAUUUGGGAGGUGGUAUCCAUUAUGUUUUAACUUCAAUGUGUUAUUGUUCUGUACGCACUGUGUACCAAGUUCUCUUUAGCAUUUCUGCAAGUGUCAUUAAAAAAGCAAUCUGGACCUUAUGUAGGAUAUUAGCCCCCCUUAUGUUGUCCGGUGAUGCCAAAGGAUAACACAUCAAUCUCGUUUAUUUAUAUC